rnacentral:rRNA from 1 species
UGAGUAACCUGCCCUUCACUUCGGGAUAACUCCGGGAAACCGGGGCUAAUACUGGAUAUGACCUGGUGCCGCAUGGUGCUGGGUGGAAAGUUUUUCGGUGGGGGAUGGACUCGCGGCCUAUCAGCUUGUUGGUGAGGUAGUGGCUUACCAAGGCGACGACGGGUAGCCGGCCUGAGAGGGCGAUCGGCCACACUGGGACUGAGACACGGCCCAGACUCCUACGGGAGGCA